CAGCGCACGGGAGCGCGCCCACGUGCGGCCGCGCCGCGGCUCCGGCGCCCCCACGCAGCGCGCAAGGUGAGUGGUCCUCACCGCCUGCGGGCGCGGGCGCGGCCUCCCAAAAGAAGAGGCCGAGCAUCCGGGAUAACACGGGAGGGGCGUGCGGGGACGCGCGCCCCCCGCCAUGGCGCAGCGGGGCCGUCGGACGCGCCGCCGGCAGCCGCAGGAGCCGCCGGAGCCUCGGUGAGCGAGAAGAUGUAGCCGAGUAGCAGCCACAGCCACACCUGCCGAGAGCUUGGCCUGGACACCCGGCCCAGACGCAGCACCGUGCCUGGGACAUCCCUCUGGCCAUCAGCCUCAACAUGUCCAAGAAGGGCGCGGGCAGCCGGGCCAAGGGGGACAAGGGGGAAGCUCUUACCGCGCUGCAGGCCGCCAAUGAGGAGCUGCGAGCCAAGCUCACGGACAUCCAGAUCGAGCUACAGCAGGAGAAGAGCAAGGUGAGCAAGGUGGAGCGGGAGAAGAACCAGGAGCUGCGGCAGGCGCGUGAGCACGAGCAGCACAAGAGUGCGGUCCUGCUCACGGAGCUCAAGGCCAAGCUGCACGAGGACAAGAUGAAGGAGCUGCAGGCCGUGCGGGAGACGCUGCUGCGGCAGCACGAGGCCGAGCUGCUCAGGGUCAUCAAGAUCAAGGACAACGAGAACCAGCGGCUGCAGGCGCUGCUGCACGCCCUGCGGGACGGCGCGCCCGACAAGGUCAAGACCGUGCUGCUGUGCGAAGCCAAGGAGGAGGCCAAGAAGGGCUUCGAGGUGGAGAAGGUCAGGAUGCAGCAGGAGAUCUCGGAGCUGAAGGGGGCCAAGAAGCAGGUGGAGGAGGCGCUGACGCUGGUCAUCCAGGCCGACAAGAUCAAGGCCGCGGAGAUCCGGAGCGUGUACCACCUGCACCAGGAGGAGAUCAGCCGCAUCAAGAAGGAGUGUGAGCGCGAGAUCCGCAGGCUGAUGGAGGAGAUAAGAUUUAAGGACAGAGCAGUCUUCGUGCUGGAGAGAGAGUUAGGGGCGCAAGCCGGGCACGCUCAGAGACUGCAGCUGCAGAAGGAGGCUUUAGAUGAGCGGCUCUCCCAGGUCAGAGAGGCUGAUCGGCACCUGGGCAGCCCCAGACGGGAACUUCCUUAUGCAAGCGGUGCAGGAGACGCCUCAGACCACCCGGGAAGCCCUGAACAGCAGUUGGAUGAAAAGGAUGCCCGGCGCUUCCAGCUUAAAAUCGCAGAGCUGAGCGCCAUCAUCCGCAAGCUGGAGGACCGCAACGCCUUGCUGUCGGAGGAGAGGAACGAGCUGCUAAAGCGUUUACGAGAAGCUGAGAGUCAGUACAAGCCACUGCUGGACAAAAACAAACGCCUGACCCGAAAAAAUGAAGACUUGUCUCAUGCUCUGCGGCGAAUGGAGAACAAGUUGAAGUUCAUCACCCAGGAGAACCUUGAGAUGAGACAGCGAGCCGGCAUCAUACGAAGACCCAGCUCUUUAAACGACCUUGACCAAAGCCAGGACGAGAGAGAAGUCGACUUCUUGAAAGUGCAGAUUGCCGAGCAGCAGAGCCUCAUCGACGAGCUCUCCAAGACCCUCGAGACUGCUGGCUACGUGAAGAGCGUGUUAGAACGCGAUAAGCUCUUAAGGUUGCGGAAGCAAAGGAAGAAGAUGGCAAAACUCCCCAAGCCGGUCGUUGUGGAGACCUUCUUUGGAUACGAUGAGGAAGCAUCCCUGGAAUCCGACGGCUCCUCCAUCUCUUACCAAACUGACAGGACAGACCAGACCCCGUGCACCCCAGAUGACGACCUGGAGGAGGGCGUGGCCAAGGAGGAGACGGAGCUGCGGUUCCGGCAGCUGACCAUGGAGUACCAGGCGCUGCAGCGAGCGUAUGCGUUGCUACAGGAGCAGGUCGGAGGGACGCUGGACGCAGAGCGAGAAGUUAAGACCCGGGAACAGCUGCAGGCCGAUGUGCAGAGAGCCCAGGCGCAGGUGGAGGACCUGGAGAAGGCGCUGGCCGAGCAAGGGCAGGAUAUGAAGUGGAUUGAAGAGAAGCAAGCACUGUAUAGGAGAAAUCAAGAACUGGUAGAAAAGAUUAAGCACAUGGAGGCGGAAGAGGCUCGGCUGAAACACGAGGUGCAGGACGCCAAGGACCAGAACGAGCUGCUGGAGUUCAGGGUCCUGGAGCUUGAGGAGAGGGAGAGGAAGUCGCCGGCCAUCACCUUCCACCAUACACCCUUCGUGGAUGGGAAGAGCCCCCUGCAGGUGUACUGUGAGGCCGAAGGCGUGACGGACAUCGUGGUCCCGGAGCUGAUGAAGAAGCUGGACAUCCUGGGGGAUAACGCCGUAAGUAACCUGACCAACGAGGAGCAGGUGGUUGUCAUUCAAGCCAGGACAGUCCUGACCUUGGCCGAGAAGUGGCUGCAGCAGAUCGAGGAGACAGAGGUGGCGCUGCAGCGGAAGAUGGCGGACCUGGAGCAGGAGAAGGAGCUGUUCAGCAAACAGAAGGGCUACCUGGACGAGGAGCUGGACUACAGGAAGCAGUCAUUGGACCAAGCCCACAAGGUAGGGGAGAGAAGGCUGUGGAACCCCAGAGCGGGCAGGUGUGGGACAAACAGGUGAAUUGUUCAGUGCCCAGUGGAGUGUCCAGGUGCCGGGGUGUGCCGGGGUGCACCGAGGCUGAGUCCUGCUGGGAGGCCGCGGGCUCGGUGUGGGGCACUCUCUGCCUUCUCUCCAUGAAGACCCCUCACUCCUGCAUGGUGGAUUCUGGGGGACACGUUCCUGCCCCAUCAGUAAAUGCUGAACUUCAGGAGUGUGCGCCCAGGCAGAACUCCCGUGAGUGUGCACGCUGAGGGGUAGGAGACUGUGCUCCUGUGAGCUGACUGAGCACGGCGGGAGUUCCCAAGUGAUAGCAGGCGGAGCCCUGCAAGUCUCACCUGGGCCACGCGCUUGCCUGCCCCUCGGGAGGCCAUUGCUCCCACCGCAUGCCUUUGUGCUUCCUCCAAUGUCUCUGGGAUUCUCGCUGGACGCUUGUGUUAGUCUGUUUCCUGUGGCCGGGACAGAAUGCGCAGUGCUAGCUGCAAGAGGUGUGAAGAAGCAAGGACGCACAACCAGGCUGUGGCUGGACGGGAGCCGGGGGACGCAGGCUCCCUCUGUGAUAGCAGCUUUCCCUGCCAGACAGGGAGCCGGGGGACGCAGGCUCCCUCUGUGAUAGCAGCUUUCCCUGCCAGACAGGGAGCCAGGGGACGCAGGCUCCCGCUUCAGGCCCAACUGUGGUCCAGUGAGAACUGCGUUCAUCCCUUCUGGUGACCAAGGCGCCUCCCGUGGGCUCCACCUCCACGCCACCACACUGGGCCCACUCCAGGACCUGAACCACUGCAGGAUGCAGCAGCACUGGCUCCUGCCAGCCGCCUUAGCUCCCGCUGAGAUCCCUUUGUGAACGCGAAAAGAAGCUUUGUGCUCUUUGAGCCUUCGCAUCCCAGCUCUGAAGCUCGCGGACAGCUGGGAGGCCCCCAAGGGCUUCCUCUCUGGCCAUCGGCCACAGCCGUUUGUUAACGUCAGCCUGCAGGCUGGAGCCUUCAAGGCAGAUGCCAGGCCAUGUUGCCAGCAGCUCAGGCUGGCCUGAGGAGCCGUGGGGAGCAGGUGGGCUGCUGCCCGAUGCUCUGGUCUUGGCUGGCCGCCGGCCACGAGACCUAACGGAGAUACUGAUUCCCACCUUCUGGGGUUGUGAGGAGGAUAAUUGUCGUGUGGAUGGUGGGUCGCAGUGGCUUAGUCAGCGGUGGCCGUGGCUGCCCAGCUUGGAGGCUGGCAGCUUGCUGUUCUUGCUGUGCCGCUGUGGCUCAUGAGGCCAGAGAGGCUCUGCUGCCUGGGGUGGGGGCACCUCCCGGGGACGAGUGAGACGAGGGCAGGAAUGGGGAGCCGUGGUCACUGGUGCCUCCCUUGCCCACGUGACACAAGAUGUGGCAGUGACCAUCCACAGGCUGCAGCAGCUUCGUGUGUGGCAGGUACAACAGCAGCUCCAGGGAUGAGCAGGGCGCGUUUCCAGCUUGAAAACCAGAUUUGAGAACAGGGUUCUCUGGGUGGGAGCUGGCAGGUGCCCCUGACCCCCCACCAUAGUCACCAUCCCAGCGCUCUGGUGACACAGCAAUGUCUGUGUCCCACGUGCAGGAAGGUAUCUCCGGGACUGCUCAGGCUUGUGAUGAUGGGUGGACAAGGGUCACCACCAAGACAUUCACCAGGGCACCCAGCCCAGUAGUCAGGGCCCUGGCCCUUACGCCUGCGAGAAGAUCUGCUUGAGCUGCUUAGACACAGCGAGGCUGGCUGAACUGAAAAUGCUCAUUCCCAGGUCCCAGCUCAGGCUGGGAGCUCUCAGAAUGGUGACCAUGGUCGUGGUGGUGGUGGUGGUGGUGGUGGUGGUGAUAAUGGUGCUUUUGCUAAUAGUGGUGGUGAUAACCUUCUGUCUGUGUGACUCCCCGGCACAGACAGGCUCCUCUGCUGGAUGGCAAAGAACCCUCCAGAACAGCGCUCUGCCGCCAUCAAGGCCCACAUUCCUGCAUGAGUCUCGAGGGCUGGGACCUGGGAUCCUUAUCCAAGUGGCAUUUCUGCUGUAGGGCUGGCACCACGCGAGGCUAAGGGACAGGGCCCCGGCCGCUGUCCCUGCUCUUUCCCCCGGGAACGCCUUUUCGUGCCUAUCCCUGCUGACUUCCAGUUUUAGCCCAUCACUGCUGCUAGGAAGCCUUCUCUAGCCUCAGCUGGACGCCCUGAGCAAAACGCAGAUGGGAUGGCCUCUCCCUGACUAGGCAGGCAGGGGCCGUGCCCACUGCCACCAGCUGGUCUUCUAGGCCUGCAUGAUGCCUGGCGAGCAGCAGGUGCACAGCGGUGCUGAGUGGGUGAAGGAGAAAAGGCGCAGACUGAGGUGUGGAAGGUGAGGACUGUGAAAGCCAGGAGAGGGAGGAGAAGGAAGGGCAUCAGUUCUUUCAUGUUGGUUCUCUGAGUGGAAGGGGUCGUAAACAUGGAACUGCUCUACAGUACACCAAACCAGUAAGUAAGAGGGACGAGGAGAAGUUCAUUACGUGCCCAGCAUCCAGAGGAAGACUGGAAUUCUGCUCUCUCCGCUUCUCUCAGGGCUCCUCAGAAUAGGCACCUGUGUGCUUUCACCACUUGCCAAGACUGGUCGUCUUACACUUACUCUCAGCCUGCUCUCUAGAAGUCCUUAGAAUAGUCACCACCGAGUGCUCGGGGCGUGCAAGAGGAUGCCUCCCUGCACCCCUGCUCCACUCCCCUGGGACCCCAGUGACAGGGCACACCUCGCAGCAGCCCGUGGUGUCUUCCAGGAGAUGCUGGGGUCCCCGUGACGUGUGUUUUCCCACAGGCGUCCUUAACACCUGAGCAGCAGCGACUGCACCCACAGAUGCCCGGUGGCUUUUCCCACCACCGUCGACGGGAGGGCAGUCCCCAGCUGUGAGAACAGGAACUUGAUGUGAGCACAGCUCACGUGGUCCUUCGUCCCAGGCUGUGGGUGUUGGGUUGUGUCCCGGUGUUCGCCGUCCACAGUGCCGCAAUACUUUGUGCCCAGUCUUGUGUGCAGGUGCGAGCAUCUCUCUGUGGGAAAGGUUCUUUGGCUUGGCCAAAAGGUCAGCAGGAAGCCGUCGGUAGGAAGCCUCACUUUGGUCCCUGUGUACUCGGCACAGUUGUACCGCAAGCUGAGUGUAAGCAAAGGCUGAUGUGGGGGGUUUUUGAAAGCUGACUCCGAGGGUUGUCUCCCAGGAAGGUCGAGUGGAGUACGUUGGGUUGGACUGCGCCGUGUCUGUUCUCACCCUUCGUUCAGCUCACACCCUUUGCCCGCUUCGUGUUGUGUAGUCGGCCUUCUCACAGGCCUGUCAGAGCUCUUGGUACAUUGAGGCAAACAGCCUGUUGUCCACUGCAGGUAUUUCUCCCAGAGUUUGAGUUUGACUGCUGUUUUGGGGGCUGAGCAGAAUUUUCGUAAUAUUUACAAGAUUGGUGGCCUCUAGAUUUCAUGAUUUAUGGUUUUGGAAAUUUCCUUCCCAAGGUUAUACCAAAAAAUUUCCAAUGCUUUCUGUCUGCAUUACUGGGGUGAAGGUGGGAUGAGAUAGUAAGAGGAACUUGAGCUUCACGCAGCUCCCAGAUGAUGGCCGGCCUCUGACUGCAUGUCUUCAGCCCCCUCCCUUUCUGCUCUGAUGUCACUUAAGAGCCCUCACUUGGGAGAGAGACUCCAUCUCAGGCAGCGUCACAGGCAGAAUCCCUCUGGAGGUAGGAGGGUUAUCCUGUGAGUGGCAUGACGGAACACAAGCUGAAUUGGUGAGUAGGCCCUAACUGCACACGCUGGCCCACUGCCCGUGGGUUCUAAUGAUCAUGGACCUCACGUGGCUGGAAAUUCAGCAUCCAUAGAACUUCCAGAAGGUCCAAUCAGAGCCACCUCAGCAUUCCCAGAGCACAACUGUGUCACCACCAUGGAGGCCGCACCUAUGCUGUCAAGCACAGCAGAGGGUCAGUGUCUCAGUUGGCCCAGCCCUGCCAAAAAGGCCACUGUGGAGCAGCAAGGUAGCCCAUAGGAUGCAAAAUGCUGUGUGAUGCUUUCAGAAAAGCCUCUUCCUGUGUGGGCUGUGAGGUCUUCAUGUGCUGUGAGGACACUUCCUGUGUGGGCUGUGAGGUCACUUCCUGUGUGGGCUGUGAGGACACUUCCUGUGUGUGCUGUGAGGUCACUUCCUGUGUGGGCUGUGAGGACACUUCCUGUGUGUGCUGUGAGGUCACUUCCUGUGUGGGCUGUGAGGACACUUCCUGUGUAUGAGGACACUUCCUGUGUAUGAGGACACUUCCUGUGUGUGCUGUGAGGACACUUCCUGUGUGGGCUGUGAGGUCUUCAUGUGCUGUGAGGACACUUCCUGUGUGGGCUGUGAGGUUACUUCCUGUGUGGGCUGUGUGGCCACUUCCUGUGUGUGCUGUGAGGACACUUCCUGUGUGGGCUAUGAGGUCUUCAUGUGCUGUGAGGUCACUUCCUGUGUGGGCUGUGAGGUCACUUCCUGUGUGGGCUGUGUGGUCACUUCCUGUGUGGGCUGUGAGGAUACUUCCUGUGUGGGGCUGUGAGGUCACUUCCUGUGUGGGCUGUGAGGUCACUUCCCGUGUGUGCUGUGAGGUCACUUCUAUGUGGACUGUGAGGACACUUCCUGUGUGGGCUGUGAGGUCACUUCCUGUAUGGGGUUGUGAGGACACUUCCUGUGUGGGCUGUGAGGACACUUCCUGUGUGGAGUUGUGAGGACACUUCCCGUGUGUGCUGUGAGGUCACUUCCCGUGUGGGCUGUGUGGUCACUUCCUGUGUGGGCUGUGAGGACACUUCCUGUGUGGGCUGUGAGGACACUUCCUGUGUGGGGCAGUGAGGUCACUUCCUAUGUGUGCUGUGUUGUCACUUCCUGUGUGUGCUGUGAGGACACUUCCUGUGUGGGCUGUGAGGUCACUUCCUGUGUGGGCUGUGUGGUCACUUCCUGUGUGGGCUGUGAGGACACUUCCUGUGUGGGCUGUGAGGUCUUCAUGUGCUAUGAGGACACUUCCUGUGUGUGCUGUGAGGACACUUCCUGUGUGGGCUGUGAGGUCACUUCCUGUGUGGGCUGUGUGGUCACUUCCUGUGUGGGCUGUGAGGACACUUCCUGUGUGGGCUGUGAGGACACUUCCUGUGUGGGGCAGUGAGGUCACUUCCUAUGUGUACUGUGUUGUCACUUCCUGUGUGUGCUGUGAGGACACUUCCUGUGUGGGCUGUGAGGUCACUUCCUGUGUGGGCUGUGUGGUCACUUCCUGUGUGGGCUGUGAGGACACUUCCUGUGUGGGCUGUGAGGUCACUUCCUGUGUGGGCUGUGGGGACACUUCCAGUGUAGUGCAGUGAGGUCACUUCCUGUGUGGGCUGUGAGGACACUUCCUGGGUGGCCCUGUGAGAGGCAUUUCCUAAGUGGUUCUUAGGGGGGACUUCCUGUUUGGUGCUGUGAGGGAUCUUCCUGUGUGACACUUGGGUCUUCCUCUGUGAUGCUUGGAGGGUGUUGACCUCUGUGGUGCUCUGGGGUCACUUCCUGUGUGGUGGGGGUGCCUUCCUGUGUGGCGCUAUCAGGAGUGUUUUGCGUGUUGCUGUGGAGGGGCGGGUUCUGGGUGGUACUCUGAGGGGUCUUCCUAUGUGAUCCUGUGGGGUCUUCCUGUGCAGUGCUGUGGGUCUUUGCUGUGUUGCUGUGCGGCCUGUGUGGGUGGAGGGGUCUCCCUGUGUGGGACUUGGCUGUGCUCUCCGUGUGGGGUGCUGUGGGCCGGGGUCUUCCUGUAGUUCUUCCCACACAGAACUUGCCCUAUUUGCCGUGCCACCAUUGUGUGUUUUAUCCUGAGUCUUACAUAACUCAUUGCAUGUUUGUUUCUGCACUAUAGCUUCUGUCCGCUUUGAGGGCCACACGACCUAGUGCACGGCGCCCACAGGUGCGCUGUGGUCUGGGGGCACCCAGGGUUUUCCUACACGGGCUGCUCUGAGCUGAGCACCCGAGGUGCUGAAGGAGAAAGGCUGCUUCCUCGGGCGGCCAGGGCAGAGGCCGGGCGAGACCGUAGAGUGGCCUCCUCCAGGUGGCCUUCUUUGGGGAUGCUAAUUCCUGGUCCAGACUCUGCUGGUGAUUGUUAGAGCGUGGUCUCUCUUAGGUGCACCCAGUUCUUCAGCUCCUGGAAGUGACAGCUGACGUGGGAGCGUGGGAGGGUUGUGACAGCUGGGGACAGUGUGUGGUGUGCCUGUCAAGAAUGAUAAGAUGUAAGUGUGGCCAAAAGGGCUUUUAUUUUGUGGAAUGUCUGCUGGCAACAGGAUUUUCAGAGUCACUUUGCCCAUGGAAAAGGAAGCGUUCACGUCUGAAGAUGCCACAGUUUUGAUGGGGGGAAAGGAAUUCUGUAACAGGAUUUGUCUCUCUCCAAGAUUGCAGUUCCCCAGAGAUGGCGUUUGUGGUUCUGCAGAUGGACGGGCAGCCUCCGGGGGUUUGUAACUGCCGUGUGCCUCCUAGCAAGGGCAUCGCCCUCACCCGCGUGGUGCCUUCUCACCCGCACAGGGCUUGUUGUGCAGCGGAGGGGCCGCCCCUGCUCCACCCUUCCUGGUCGCCCCACCCCCGGGCUCCCGCACUGGCUGCACAGGCGCUGGUCUUUCCCAGCCUCUGUAUCCAGCAUCGGCCCUGAUCUGGGGGGCUUCUAUGUGAGGGUCUUCUCGCAGAUGGGAGCGUCUGGGUUCCAGGGCCUUCCCCAGAAAUCCACAGGAGCACUGUGGCUCCCAGCUGUGGCACACUCCACCUUGCCCUCUCCCGUGGCGGCUGUCCCGGCCUCCGGUUGCUCUCCUCUGUGGCCGUGCUGAGCAGCCCUGGGUGAGGCAGGUGCAUCCUGGGAGGAGGGAGGACCAGCGUGCCUCUGCUCGGCCCUCAGCACAUCCUGGAGCUGGAAGCCAUGCUGUACGACGCCCUGCAGCAGGAGGCGGGGGCCAAAGUGGCCACGCUGCUGACGGAGGAGGAGCGCGAGAAGCUCAAGGUGGCUGUGGAGCAGUGGAAGCGCCAGGUCAUGAGCGAGC